GGAAGGAUCAUUCACAAUUGAAAAUGCGGCAUAAUUUGCCCAUUUACAUCCAACUUUAAAGUGCAUGGACCUUUGGGUUCUUGUGCUUUAAACCUUGUGUGCAUUGUAUUUAUUUUCUUCUUUUAUUCUUUUUUUUCAAAUGGGGUGUGAAAGGUUUCGGCCUUUUUCAGUUUGUUUGAAAAAAGAGGUAAGGGAAAGAAUAUAUAUUAAACUUACAAGAUAUCAUAUUGACAGUAAAACUAUUAUGAAUACUUAAUUCAAAAUACAACUUUCAACAACGGAUCUCUUGGCUCUCGCAUCGAUGAAGAACGCAGCGAAAUGCGAUACGUAAUGUGAAUUGCAGAAUUCAGUGAAUCAUCGAAUCUUUGAACGCAUAUUGCGCUCUUUGGUAUUCCGAAGAGCAUGCUUGUUUGAGUAUCAGUAAUAAACCUCAACCAAAAUAUUAUUUUUUGGAUGGAUUUGAGCAAUCUCAAUAUCAUUUUUUUUUUAAAAAUGAGUGCGAGUUGCUUUAAAUUUUGGUUUAGUCAAUUUGAAAUACAAUGGACUUGCUAAACAUAUCUUAAUUAAUCUUUCUAAGAUUAUUAUUUCUGUGAAGCUUGAUUAUUGGUUAAUAUUUCUUAUCAGGCUAACUGAUGCAGUAACUACGAAAGAUGUCAAAAGUCUUUUGUUAACUCGAUCUCAAAUCAAGUAAGACUACCCGCUGAACUUAAGCAUAUCAAUAAGCGGAGGAAAAGAAACUAACAAGGAUUCCCCUAGUAACGGCGAGUGAAGCGGGAUGAGCUCAAAUUUUAAAUCUGGCUGGUUUACUAGUCCGAAUUGUAGUUUAAAGAAGUGUUUUCGGUGGCAGCCUGGAUAUAAAUCCUUUGGAACAGGGUAUCAUAGAGGGUGAGAAUCCCGUCUUUGAUCCAGUGCAUGCUACUAUGUGAUACACUUUCAAAGAGUCGAGUUGUUUGGGAAUGCAGCUCAAAAUAGGAGGUAAAUUUCUUCUAAAGCUAAAUACAGGCGAGAGACCGAUAGCGAACAAGUACCGUGAGGGAAAGAUGAAAAGAACUUUGAAAAGAGAGUUAAACAGUGCGUGAAAUUGUUGAAAGGGAAACGUUUGACACCAGUCAUGUGUGUGGAAAAUCAGUCUUUGAUAGAGAGCUGUUGUAGUAUUCUGAGCGCAAGCCUGGGUGCUGUUUCUAGCUAGCUAAAUGGGAUGCACUUUUUCAUUCACAGGUCAACAUCAGUUUUGUUUGCCGGAAAAAACUUUAGAGAAUGUGACAGCUUUGGCUGUGUUAUAGCUCUUGAGCGAUACGGUGGGUGAGACUGAGGUUUGCAGCAUGUGCUCUAGGGCAAGGUUAGAUAGGAUGCUAUGGUUUUUGCGAGGCAUAGACCCUUGUGGUACUGUGUUUUUCAAAGAUUGUACUCGUUCUAUUCACGCUUCCAUGCUUAAGAUGUUGACUUAAUGGUUUUAAACGACCCGUCUUGAAACACGGACCAAGGAGUCUAACAUAUAUGCAAGUGUUUGGGUGGCAAACCCAUGCGCGUAAUGAAAGUGAACGUAGGUGCCAUCUCGCAAGAGUGCAGCAUCGACCGAUCUUGAUAUUUUUGGAUAGAUUUGAGUAAGAGCAUAUAUGCUGGGACCCGAAAGAUGGUGAACUAUGCCUGAAUAGGGUGAAGCCAGAGGAAACUCUGGUGGAGGCUCGUAGCGAUUCUGACGUGCAAAUCGAUCGUCAAAUUUGGGUAUAGGGGCGAAAGACUAAUCGAACCAUCUAGUAGCUGGUUCCUGC
rnacentral:misc_RNA from 1 species